GCUGACGAGUCCCAAAUAGGACGAAACAGCUGUCC
rfam:Echinostoma caproni strain Egypt genome assembly, scaffold: ECPE_scaffold0014000